UUUGGUAAAUUUUUGCUUUAUAGAGCUGCUAGAAACACUUUCUAAAUCACGACUCACAUGUUGCUGGAACUGAUUUUAAGUCUAUAUAUACUAAAAGCAAGUAAAAGUGCCAGAUUGGGGAGUGCCCGACUAGAAGAUAUCCUCUCAAAUUUAUGCAGCAGUUGUGCCUCUCCUUCUCAUCCAAGAAAUGCUACCCUGAAUAUCUUCGGUGCUUAUAGUCCGAUCUUUAUGCAUACGUGACUAACAACCUAAAGAUUGACUUAGAGGUAUUCAUUAUUCGUUACUUAUUUUACAAUCCCCCAACUGUCCCUCUGUUGUUUGCGAAUGAAAGUUUUUAGUUGCUUUUACGAAAAGUAUGCAGAAUUUUAAGAAAAUAAUUGCCGAAUAGUGGAGCAGCAAAGGCAGGACUUGCUGCAAGGACAUAUGAGAUGCUUGUUAUUUGCUGUGGCCAAAGCUUGCCCAAGGGAAUUUGCACAAAUUUUUGCCUGGCUUUGAUGCAAUUAAUUCGAGUUAAGAAUGCAAACUGCCGUCUGCCGCCAGCUGCUGCUACUACAGAGCGGGUGGGGCAUAAGUGGGCCGGGGGCGGGUGUUGCCACUAGCAAGGUCUGCGAGCAGAGAAAAUCGCAAGCAGCUUUAGCAGACUUGGAGGCGCCACUUGAGUGCCGCUGCCGCUGCCGCUGCGUCGUGGCAAACGUUUGCCUUGGCUGCUUCCGUUUUUUUUUUUCGUGCGCUGCUGUGUGGCAUGGAGUGGCAACAAGUGCCACUUGCACUUUGACUGAUGUGCAGCGCACGCUCCGCCAUCCCCCGACCCAUUGCUCACAAUCACCCAAAACCACGCCCAGCUGCAGCAGCAGCAGCAAAGUAUCUCAGCCAGCUAAAAAGUGCGCAAAAUGAAGUGGCAGCUGCUGUCUGAAAGGUGCUUCAGCUUGAAGCACACGCUCCAAGAUGUAGAAGAAGAAGACGAAGAAGAAGAAGCAGCAGCAGAAGCUGCAACACGCAACGCGCAACGCGCUCAUAUUUAGCGGCUUUUAGACGGGCUUUUCCAGUGAAUGCCAAACGUGGCUUUCGCACUGUUUUGCCAACUCAAUGGCCCUCGUCUCGGCUGCCGCCAGUUAGCCUGUUUAGCUAGAAAUUCAAUUCACCUGCACUUUUUGUCAUGUCAACGAAAGAGUUGUUCACUUUCUACGGCGUAUUAUAAUUUUGUCGCGGAAUGUGAAGCACCCCGAAGGAGAUACCAUUAAGAGUUUGUCUUGACUGAGACAUCAGACUGAUUAGAAGCUAACAAUCGCAAGGUCGCUGGUUCAAAUCUAUUGGAAAUUUGUAAAACACUUGAAAGGAGAUGACAUAAAUGCAUAUUUAUAUUAAAGAGUUCGUCUUGACUGACAUUUGACUAACA